AUGGCAAAUAGGAUAUUUCAGAAUAUAUCAGUUCAUAGCAAAUGGAGCACAGAGUAAUUGGAGCAUAUCAAUAGCGUAUGAAAUGUUCCGGAGCAUAUCAAUGACAUAUGGAACAUUUCGAAGCGUAACAAUAACAAAUGAAAUAUUUCGGAGCAUAUCAAAGGCGUAUGAAAUGUUUUGGAGCAUAUCAAUGACAAAUAAAACAUUUCGGAAC
rnacentral:lncRNA from 1 species